rnacentral:rRNA from 1 species
GAUGAACGCUGGCGGCGUGCCUAAUACAUGCAAGUCGAGCGAACAGACGAGGAGCUUGCUCCUUUGACGUUAGCGGCGGACGGGUGAGUAACACGUGGAUAGCCUACCUAUAAGACUGGGAUAACUUCGGGAAACCGGAGCUAAUACCGGAUAACAUGUUGAACCGCAUGGUUCAACAGUGAAAGACGGUCUUGCUGUCACUUAUAGAUGGAUCCGCGCCGCAUUAGCUAGUUGGUAAGGUAACGGCUUACCAAGGCAACGAUGCGUAGCCGACCUGAGAGGGUGAUCGGCCACACUGGAACUGAGACACGGUCCAGACUCCUACGGGAGGCAGCAGUAGGGAAUCUUCCGCAAUGGGCGAAAGCCUGACGGAGCAACGCCGCGUGAGUGAAGAAGGUCUUCGGAUCGUAAAACUCUGUUAUUAGGGAAGUACAAAUGUGUAAGUAACUAUGCACGUCUUGACGGUACCUAAUCAGAAAGCCACGGCUAACUACGUG